rnacentral:rRNA from 1 species
UUUUCUUGACCGGACUUGCAAGCAGUCAACAACCCGGGGGACAAGACGGGAGGUAGCGUGGGGUUGGGUUUGAGGGUGGGGGUUGGGUUUUAGUCUAUUCGUUUCGUCGCGCUGGAGCGCUCGCGGUACUACAGGGGCUGCUGGUGGCGGUGCCGAUGCCGGUGCCGGCGGCGGAAGGAGAGGCGCCGCGGACGGAGGAGUAGGAGAUGGGUGGCGUCCGCAUCGGCAGCGCGACGAUAGAGGCGGAGGGAGAGCAGGCUUCUUGGCGACGAGUAUGCACGCCGCUCCCCGCUCCUACCCGACGGAUCCGGCGGCCGCACCUACUACGCCGUCCGACCCGCCAUGUACCGCAGCAUGGUCCGCGACAGGUUCGCGGUGGGAAGCAAGGCCCUCGCCAGCCUCUGGUGGCUGGAGUAGCAGCUUUAGUGCGAUGUCGGCACCGUGCGGAAGCGUGGGCUGCCGCAGUAGGAUAAGAGCCUGUAUGAGUGCGGGGACGGCCGGUAGCCCCACGGCAAGCUAUAGAGCCUUAGGUUCCCCGGCCACUAGGUCAGAGGGCACGCCUGCCUCCUUGUCCAGUCCCUCGAGCAAGGGUAUCUAGAGCUAUUCGAGGUCAAGCAGCCCCUCAGCGAGUUCUAAGACGCGUCGCUCUAACUACCUUUUCGACGAAACGAUCCUAAGCACCCCCGGGGUACCUGUUAACGUUGAAUACAACAACUUCCUCCCUACUGGUUGUGAAUGUGUUUAUAUUUCGCGUACACGGUGUGUCGUGGUUUACAGAACUCCCCGGAAGAGAGAGUGGAGCGUCUUCGAUAUAGACUGAUAUAGUAAAUGGUUCAUUUGAGACCACGAGUCACAUAUGUCUAUAAACUAAGUACCCCACCCGUUGAAGGUGGAGUACACACCCUCGUUACCAGUUUUGGUAUAUAGUCUGUCUAACACCGAUUCUAAUUCUGUCUUACGGGAGUGUAUGGUGAACACGACAUAUAUUUACCUUUACCUCCGAACGAGCUCGCGUACUUCCUGUAGCCUCAACUACAAUAACCCGAACUGACCUGUCACCUAUACCGUCUACCUUCCUCCGCGCAACCACUACCUUAAUCACAUGUUCCCUUGCACCUGGGUCGUAUAGAUAAAAGGGGUAAUGGUCAUAACUGACUACUUUAAGUAUCCCAACACUUUCGUCGACCAGGCUUUCCAGUAUAUGAAUUGAACCCGGUACCACAAGAAGUUUUUUGUGGUCUUCUUCGACAUCGUGUAAAGAAACUACAGUGUUCCUCGAACUCUAUACUGUGGGAAAAGGUCCCAGUAGAAUGACUUCUUAACGUUGUACAACGAACUACUACCGGUAGUAAGUAGAUGAGUCGUUUCCUUUCCGUACGGAGGACGAAAAUCUUCCCUCGACCUCAAAUAAGUUCACCCAACAAGUUGGGAAAGACACAAUCAAGGAACGUAGCCAAUAGUAAGGUC